rnacentral:rRNA from 1 species
CCUACGGGGGGCUGCAGUGGGGAAUAUUGGACAAUGGGGGGAACCCUGAUCCAGCCAUGCCGCGUGUGUGAAGAAGGCCCUCGGGUUGUAAAGCACUUUCAGUGAGGAAGAACGCCUGGUGGUUAAUACCCAUCAGGAAAGACAUCACUCACAGAAGAAGCACCGGCUAACUCCGUGCCAGCAGCCGCGGUAAUACGGAGGGUGCGAGCGUUAAUCGGAAUUACUGGGCGUAAAGCGCGCGUAGGUGGCUUGAUAAGCCGGUUGUGAAAGCCCCGGGCGCAACCUGGGAACGGCAUCCGGAACUGUCAAGCUAGAGUGCAGGAGAGGAAGGUAGAAUUCCCGGUGUAGCGGUGAAAUGCGUAGAGAUCGGGAGGAAUACCAGUGGCGAAGGCGGCCUUCUGGACUGACACUGACACUGAGGUGCGAAAGCGUGGGUAGCAAACAGGAUUAGAUACCCUUGUAGUC